ACGGGUGAGUAACGCGUGGGAAUCUACCGUGCCCUAAGGAAUAGCUCCGGGAAACUGGAAUUAAUACCUUAUACGCCCUUCGGGGGAAAGAUUUAUCGGGGUAUGAUGAGCCCGCGUUGGAUUAGCUAGUUGGUGGGGUAAAGGCCUACCAAGGCGACGAUCCAUAGCUGGUCUGAGAGGAUGAUCAGCCACAUUGGGACUGAGACACGGCCCAAACUCCUACGGGAGGCAGCAGUGGGGAAUAUUGGACAAUGGGCGCAAGCCUGAUCCAGCCAUGCCGCGUGAGUGAUGAAGGCCCUAGGGUUGUAAAGCUCUUUCACCGGUGAAGAUAAUGACGGUAACCGGAGAAGAAGCCCCGGCUAACUUCGUGCCAGCAGCCGCGGUAAUACGAAGGGGGCUAGCGUUGUUCGGAAUUACUGGGCGUAAAGCGCACGUAGGCGGAUAUUUAAGUCAGGGGUGAAAUCCCAGAGCUCAACUCUGGAACUGCCUUUGAUACUGGGUAUCUCGAGUAUGGAAGAGGUGAGUGGAAUUCCGAGUGUAGAGGUGAAAUUCGUAGA
rnacentral:rRNA from 1 species